UACGUAGGGCGCAAGCGUUGUCCGGAAUUAUUGGGCGUAAAGAGCUCGUAGGCGGUUUGUCGCGUCUGCUGUGAAAACCUAAGGCUCAACCUUGGGCUUGCAGUGGGUACGGGCAGACUAGAGUGCGGUAGGGGUGACUGGAAUUCCUGGUGUAGCGGUGGAAUGCGCAGAUAUCAGGAGGAACACCGGCGGCGAAGGCGGGUCUCUGGGCCGAUAUUGACGCUGAGGAGCGAAAGCGUGGGGAGCAAACAGG
rnacentral:rRNA from 1 species